CAAAUUUUCUGGUAGCAUCAAUGUGGAUAGCCACAACUAUAAUGUGCUUUUGGGCUAAAAAUAGUCUGUGAUGCUAGUUAUUUUUUUCUUGCUUUCUGAGGAAUGGUUUUCCUGAGGUUCAGGUUACUAUCGAAGAGAUUGAAAUUUGUAUGUGGUUCAGCUUCUAAUUUUUGUUUCUUGGCUUUGAGGGCUUUUUGCUCCUCCUCUUCCUCUUCUUUCUCCUCAGAUUCCUUGGAUUUCCCAGCUUUCCCAGGGGUAGCUUUCAUGUCUGUAAAUAGCUUUUCCUUUGGCAAGUAUGGUAUUAAUAGCAUAUUCUUCAGAGAGAGUUAUCUUUAUUUUCUUCCUCAUCACUAUCAUCUUCCUUCUCAUGCUCUUCCUCCUCAUAGUCAAAAACUCAUUGGCCUGUAACUGUGCACAUUUUUUGUUUGUGGCAUCUGAUGGCUCAAAUUCUUCAUUCUCCUCAUCUUCUCUGUCAUCUUCACAUUUACUGUCUUCUUUCUUGACAGGCUCCUCAUUUUCUGCCCCUUUGGAGUUGGACAUGAUGCUGUUUUAGCUGGAAUGGUCACCUCUUUAGCUGGAGUGGCAACUUUCUUGUCUGGUAUGAUGACUGCUUUGGCUGAGUUAGCAGCUUUCUUGGCCCUGGCCAUGGUGGGACUUUUUAUCAGAAGUCAUGGCUACUUUCUUGGCACAUAUGGUGGCAACAACAGCUGUUCUGGCUGAUGGUACCUCCACUGCUUGUGUGGUCACAGUCUUAUUGUCUUUCUUCUGAGGGACCGCAACCUUUUCUCCACUGCUUUCUUUUCCAUCUUCUGACAUGUCCUCCCACUCCUCACUGUCUCCCAUCUCCUUUGGAGGAAAAAGCAUUUUCUUUGGUUCACUUGGAUUUUAGCAGCCUUUCCAAGCUUCACUAUGUUGGUGAGCACAUGACUAGGAGUUUGGAGAGUGCAGAUCCAUUGGCAGAGGCCCAGAAAAUGUGGUGGUGGCAGAAAGCACAGGGAGAAUUUGGGGCACAGUGAGCAUCCCUUUGCUGGCAGAGACUGAGAUGAAAGAUUCAAGUGUGUUUGAGAAAAUAUUUUUUUUUCUUGCAUUAUUUCAUUUCAUAUCCAGAACAGUCCUGUAAGGUGUUCCCGGCCAAAUGCUUCAUUUUGGGAAGUUUCCUGGAGCUUCCUCAUCUGCUGCAGAAAAGCAUUUAGAGACUCUUCUGUGAAAAGGAGAUUGCUGUUGAGGGCUGAAGUAUUUUGUCUGAAGGAAUUUUCCUUCUUUUGGAAGCCUCUGCUGUUUGGCUCAGCAUUUUCUCCUUUUUAAGCUCAAGCAAUGCAGUACAGAGCCAGGCUAGACACAAGAAAGGACCUUGGAGGGCUUCAAGUGGGAGACUGCAAUCAUAAAUCCUGGAGCUCCCAUUUGUGAGACCUGACCUCAAGUCCUCAGGAAUUGGCUUUAAUGGAAGAGCUGGACUAUAGGAUGAGUAAGAGGGUGGAGGAAGAGCCUAGAUGAAAGUACAAAUGGAAAUACACACCCGCCAUUAAAUGAAGUCCUUCCAUCCUGCCAUUUUGAAAAUCAAACCCACUUCCAGGUUUGAUGCAGAAAUCUUGAGGAUUCUUUAUUUAACUUCUAAUCCCCUGUGAGGACCAUCUUUGUAAUAUGUUUUGGUGAAGCUUUUCUUGUUUGAGAGUAUUAUUUGUUGUCAUUGAAUUAUUUCCCUUGUGUCCUACUUCUCUCUGACUCCACAGUGGAGUUUUCUUGGUAAAGAUACCAGACUGCUUUGCCAUUGCCUUCUCCAUCACUCUUUUAUAGGUAAAGAACUGAAGCAGAGUUAAGUGACUUGCCCAGGGACCGCUAGUAAAUGUCUAAGGCCAGAUUUGAAAUCGAAGGUAACUCUCCCUGAUUCCAAGUCCAGUACUGUGCUACCUAGCUGCCCUAUUAUUUGGUAUUAUUUGUCCUAAUGCCUUUUCAAUUGGAAAGCCAUUGACUGGUUAUCACGUGAUAAGAUUAUUUCCCACAUUGAUAGGAUUAUACCCAUUAAAGUAUCAAAAAAUCUGCCAGUGGUACAAAUGACCAAAUCUUUACUUGUGUACUUUCACACACUUUCUAAAGCCAGGUCUCCUAAUGCCAACAUAUUUGAUUAUAGAUGCUUAAAAGCCAGCUAUGUAGACAUUCACAUAUUUAGGAACAUCUGGAAAAUUGAUUGGAUAAAUUUUGUUUUUC